rnacentral:rRNA from 1 species
UACAGAGGGGGCAAGCGUUAUUCGGCAUUAUUGGGCGUAAAGGGCGCGUAGGCGGCCUGGCAAGUGGAAGGUGAAAUCCCUCGGCUUAACCGAGGAACUGCCUCCCAAACUGCUUGGCUUGAGACCGGGAGAGGUGAGUGGAAUUCCCAGUGUAGCGGUGAAAUGCGUAGAUAUUGGGAGGAACACCAGUGGCGAAGGCGGCUCACUGGACCGGUACUGACGCUGAUGCGCGAAAGCGUGGGGAGCAAACGGG